GAGCGCAACCCUUGUCCUUAGUUACCAGCACGUUAUGGUGGGCACUCUAAGGAGACUGCCGGUGACAAACCGGAGGAAGUGGGGAUGACGUCAAGUCAUCAUGGCCCUUACGGCCUGGGCUACACACGUGCUACAAUGGUCGGUACAAAGGGUUGCCAAGCCGCGAGGUGGAGCCAAUCCCAUAAACCGAUCGUAGUCCGGAUCGCAGUCUGCAACUCGACUGCGUGAAGUCGGAAUCGCUAGUAAUCGUGAGUCAGAAUGUCACGGUCGAAUACGUUCCCGGGCCUU
rnacentral:rRNA from 1 species